rnacentral:rRNA from 1 species
CCUACGGGAGGCAGCAGUGGGGAAUAUUGCGCAAUGGGGGAAACCCUGACGCAGCAACGCCGCGUGUGUGAGGAAGUACUUCGGUAUGUAAAGCUCUAUCAUCGGGGAAGAAAGAGGUCUUUACCCUACUAAUAAGCCCUGGCUAACUACUUGCCAUCAGCCGCGGUAAUACGUAGGGGGCGAGCGUUAAUCGGAUUUACGGGGCGUAAAGGGAUCGGAGUCGGCGUCGCAAGUCUGAAGUGAAAGCCCCGGGCUCAACCGGGGAAACGCAUUGGAGACUGCGAGACUAGAGUGCGGCAGAGGGAAGCGGAAUUCCAGGUGUAGCAGUGAAAUGCGUAGAUAUCAGGAAGAACACCGAUGGCGAAGGCAGCUUCCUGGGAAGUGACUGACGUUGAGACUCGAAAGCGUGGGGAGCGAACAGGAUUAGAUACCCUUGUAGUC